rnacentral:rRNA from 1 species
GACGAACGCUGGCGGCGUGCUUAACACAUGCAAGUCGAGCGGUAAGGCCCUUUCGGGGGUACACGAGCGGCGAACGGGUGAGUAACACGUGGGUGACCUGCCCUCAGCUCUGGGAUAAGCCUGGGAAACCGGGUCUAGUACUGGAUAUGACUCCAUGACGCAUGUUGUGGGGUGGAAAGCCUUGUGCGGCUGAGGAUGGGCCCGCGGCCUAUCAGCUUGUUGGUGGGGUGANGGCCUACCAAGGCGACGACGGGUAGCCGGCCUGAGAGGGCGAUCGGCCACACUGGGACUGAGACACGGCCCAGACUCCUACGGGAGGCAGCAGUGGGGAAUCUUGCGCAAUGGGCGAAAGCCUGACGCAGCGACGCCGCGUGA